GCAACCUGGGACCAGUGAGACUGUUCUUUAAGCUAUUACUUAGUGCCAAGAUGAAGAAUCCGGAUUAGUUAGUUGUAUAUAUUUAUUAGGGAAACACUGUGGAAGACACCAUGAACCAGGAGCUGAAGAGAAAGGUGCUCACUUGCUUCAAACAGCUGCAUCGAACCCGUUUGACUGUGUUCCAGGGGGAUACAAAUGCUCUUGCUGCUGCUCGUGAACAAAUCAAUGGUGAAUUUACCAAGAAUAUAAAUGUGUCAAACAGUGAUUCCAUUGAAGAGCUCAUCACCUUCGGACAACAAGUAGAAGAAGUCUUGCGGACGAGUGUUAUACAAGCUGUCAAGAGGGAGGAUGGGACUUACAGAUUGUGAGUUGGUGUUCACCAGUGCGAGCAGAGGGCUGGUCUUCACAGCAUCACUAGAGAGGGCGAUCUGCAUCAUGGCAAGGUGGGCAGCCCCGCCACCCGCCGAAGACCGUCCACUCAGCAGAACCAGGAUGUAUCUGUAAACACUUCUACAUCUGGUGCAAGAAUUCUUGAGGACACCCUCAGAUUGGACAACAAACCUUACCAGCCAAUGCCAGAGAAUAUGAUUGGACCAUUCAAGAAAAAAAAGACAAAAUGUAGUAAAUAGAUGACACCAUUGUUAACAUUUUCAAAUCAUAGACAGAUAAUGUAUAAAGUUUAUUGACAUAAUAUAUUGAAUCUAUGUCUAGUGCACACAUUAAAAAAGUAUAGACAAAUCUGUAGAUUUGAUUCAUAAUACAGUACAUUAAGUUAAGUAAA
rnacentral:misc_RNA from 1 species